rnacentral:rRNA from 1 species
GACGAACGCUGGCGGCGUGCCUAAUACAUGCAAGUCGAACGCAGUGGGGACGGGUGAGUAACACCUGGGUAACCUCCCAUCAGAGGGGAUAACACUUGGAAACAGGUGCUAAACCGAUACUGAUGGAUGGACCCGGCGUGCAUUAGCUAGUUGGUGGGGGAACGGCUCACCAAGGCCACGAUGCAUAGCCGACCGGGGAGGGGGAUCGCCCACACUGGGACUGAGCCACGGCCCAGACCCCUACGGGAGGCAGCAGUAGGGAAUCUUCGGCAAUGGACGAAAGUCUAACCGAGCAACGCCGCGUAAGUGAAGAGGGUUUUCGGAUCGUAAGACUCUGUUGUUAGAGAAGCGGUAUCUAACCAGAAAGCCACGGCUAACUACGUGCCAGCAGCCGCGGUAAUUC